rnacentral:rRNA from 1 species
AUGCUUAAGAUUUACCUUGCUAAAGCUUUUGAUCGUCUAUGGUGGAACUUCAUUGUUUCUGCUUUAUUACGUAAAGGGUUGCAUGGUCAUUUUGUUAAUUUGGUGUAUGCAUGCAUUUCUUCGCCCACGUUCUCUGUGCUCAUUAAUGGGCAACCUUCUCAAAAUUUUAAAAGUUUCCGAGGUAUCCGACAAGGCUGUCCUAUGUCUCCUUACUUAUUCGUCCUUGCUAUUAAUGAACUUUCAAUCAUGCUCAAUGAUGCUUUGCAGGCCAAUCAUCUUCGGGGAAUUUCUCUUGGACCAAAUUGCGCUUCUGUGCAUUCCCUCCUUUUUGUAGAUGAUCUUUUGGUUUGUGGACAGGCUACUUGUCAGGAAGCUCAGACCAUGGCUAGCCUGAUUCAACACUUUUGUGAUCUUUCCGGUUGGGACCCCUGCGUAGUAUGCGCGACGGCUAUGCGGAGGGGGAAUUUUUGGUCUUUUUUCAGGGAAUUAGACUGA